rnacentral:snoRNA from 26 species
GGCCCACAUUGGAGUUGUGUCUUGGGCUAACAUUUCUGUGUCCUUGUUUGCACACUCACGUGGUCCGAGA